rnacentral:rRNA from 1 species
CAGCAGCCGCGGUAAUACGGAGGGUGCAAGCGUUAAUCGGAAUUACUGGGCGUAAAGCGCACGCAGGCGGUCUGACAAGUCAGAUGUGAAAUCCCCGGGCUUAACCUGGGAACUGCAUUUGAAACUGUCAGGCUGGAGUCUUGUAGAGGGGGGUGGAAUUCCAGGUGUAGCGGUGAAAUGCGUAGAGAUCUGGAGGAAUACCGGUGGCGAAGGCGGCCCCCUGGACAAAGACUGACGCUCAGGUGCGAAAGCGUGGGGAGCAAACAGGAUUAAAUACCCGCGUAGUCCCUGUCUCUUAUAC